rnacentral:piRNA from 1 species
AACAAACAAAAAAAAAACUACUUCUGAU